UACGUAGGGGGCAAGCGUUGUUCGGAAUUACUGGGCGUAAAGGGCGCGUAGGCGGCCUGCUAAGUCGAACGUGAAAUCCCUGGGCUCAACCCAGGAACUGCGUCCGAUACUGGUUGGCUUGAAUCCGGGAGAGGGAUGUGGAAUUCCAGGUGUAGCGGUGAAAUGCGUAGAUAUCGGGAAGAACAUCAGUGGCGAAGGCGGUCUGCUGGGCCGUUGCUGACGCUGAGGCGCGACAGCGUGGGGAGCAAACAGG
rnacentral:rRNA from 1 species